rnacentral:SRP_RNA from 1 species
CCGUGCUAGGUGGGAAGGUAGCGGUGUCCUAUAACUCGCAAUCCGCUUUAGCGAGACUGAAUUCCCUUCUGAGGCUUUCUGUAUGUUUGGUCUGCCUCUUGCACGCAGUGUUGACGAUUGGGUCCUGCGCAAUGAGUUCCCACGAACCAUGUCAGGUCCGAGAGGAAGCAGCAUUAAGUGGUCAAACUUAUGUGCCGCGGGAUCGCCUAAUCUGAGCUAGCGACAAGAGUAACGCUUGUGUACAACUGUCGACGAAGGGUGCAUGG